rnacentral:rRNA from 1 species
GCAACGAGCGCAACCCCUAUCUUUAAUUGCCAUCAUUCAGUUGGGCACUUUAGAGAGACUGCCGGUGUUAAGCCGGAGGAAGGUGGGAUGACGUCAAGUCCUCAUGGCCUUUAUGUCUAGGGCUACACACGUGCUACAAUGGGUGGUACAAAGAGCAGCUAACUCGCGAGAGUAUGCAAAUCUCAAAAAGACCAUCCUCAGUUCGGAUUGGAGUCUGCAACUCGACUCCAUGAAGUUGGAAUCGCUAGUAAUCGCGGAUCAGCACGCCGCGGUGAAUACGUUCCCGGGCCGUU